rnacentral:rRNA from 1 species
GAUGAACGCUAGCUACAGGCUUAACACAUGCAAGUCGAGGGGAAACGACAUCGAAAGCUUGCUUUUGAUGGGCGUCGACCGGCGCACGGGUGAGUAACGCGUAUCCAACCUGCCCAUCACUUGGGAAUAACCUUGCGAAAGUAAGACUAAUACCCAAUGAUAUCCCACGAAGGCAUCGGAAUGGGAUUAAAGAUUUAUCGGUGAUGGAUGGGGAUGCGUCUGAUUAGCUUGUUGGCGGGGUAACGGCCCACCAAGGCAACGAUCAGUAGGGGUUCUGAGAGGAAGGUCCCCCACAUUGGAACUGAGACACGGUCCAAACUCCUACGGGAGGCAGCAGUGAGGAAUAUUGGUCAAUGGGCGAGAGCCUGAACCAGCCAAGUAGCGUGCAGGAAGACGGCCCUAUGGGUUGUAAACUGCUUUUAUAAGGGAAUAAAGUGGGUCACGUGUGACUUUUUGCAUGUACCUUAUGAAUAAGGACCGGCUAAUUCC